GAUGGCACCUGAAAUAUCAAUCAAAAAUAAUGGAUCCAUUACUAUUCACCUUAAUGGGAGGCUAUGAUCUAGUUGUCUCUAUAACCAGCUCAUUUUAUAAAUCUAAUAAUUUAGAAGAUUUGAUUAAAUCUUUUAAAAGAUAUCAGUCGACCUACAAAUCAUAAAUCCUCUCACUGAUUUCACUAAGUCAUGAAAAGGACUAGUGACUAGUGGAUCCAACCAGUAUGUCGUAAAUCCUCCCACUGACUUCAUCAAGUCAUGGGAAGGACUAGAGACAAGUCGAUCCAGGAU
rnacentral:lncRNA from 1 species